rnacentral:rRNA from 1 species
AGAGUUUGAUCAUGGCUCAGGAUGAACGCUAGCGGGAGGCUUAACACAUGCAAGUCGAGCGGGAUUAGCAGCAAUGCUAUGAGAGCGGCGCACGGGUGCGUAACGCGUAUGCAACCUGCCUUAUACAAAGGGAUAGCCCAUGGAAACGUGGAUUAAUAUCUUAUAGGACUURWGAAUCGCAUGGUUUWYAAGUUAAAACUGAGGUGGUAUAAGAUGGGCAUGCGUCUGAUUAGGUAGUUGGUAGGGUAACGGCCUACCAAGCCGACGAUCAGUAGGGGUUCUGAGAGGAUUACCCCCCACACUGGUACUGAGACACGGACCAGACUCCUACGGGAGGCAGCAGUGAGGAAUAUUGGUCAAUGGGCGAGAGCCUGAACCAGCCAUCCCGCGUGCAGGAUGACGGCCCUAUGGGUUGUAAACUGCUUUUCUGCUCCAAGAAACCCUGUUACGUGUARCAGGUUGACGGUAGAGUAGGAAUAAGCAUCGGCUAACUCCGUGCCAGCAGCCGCGGUAAUACGGAGGAUGCAAGCGUUAUCCGGAUUCAUUGGGUUUAAAGGGUGCGCAGGUGGGAAUGUAAGUCAGUGGUGAAAUACUGCCGCUUAACGGUAGAGCUGCCAUUGAUACUGCGUUUCUUGAGUAUGGUUGAGGUAGGUGGAAUGUGUUGUGUAGCGGUGAAAUGCAUAGAUAUGACACAGAACGCCGAUUGCGAAGGCAACUUACUAAGCCAUUACUGACGCUGAGGCACGAAAGCGUGGGUAGCGAACAGGAUUAGAUACCCUGGUAGUCC